rnacentral:rRNA from 1 species
GAUUGGGCGGACGGGUGAGUAAUACUUAGGGAUCUGCCUUUGAGUGGGGGACAACCCAUUGGAAACGAUGGCUAAUACCGCAUGACGUCUGUGGACCAAAAGGGGGCUUUCGGGCUCCCGCUCAAAGAGGAACUAAGCGAGAUUAGCUAGUUGGUGGGGUAAAGGUCUACCAAGGCGACGAUCUCUAGCUGUUCUGAGAGGAAGAUCAGCCACACUGGGACUGAGACACGGCCCAGACUCCUACGGGAGGCAGCAGUGGGGAAUAUUGCACAAUGGGGGGAACCCUGAUGCAGCCAUGCCGCGUGUGUGAAGAAGGCCUUCGGGUUGUAAAGCACUUUCAGACGUGAGGAAGGGUUGAUGGUUAAUACCCGUCAACAUUGACGUUAGCGUCAGAAGAAGCACCGGCUAACUCCGUGCCAGCAGCCGCGGUAAUACGGAGGGUGCGAGCGUUAAUCGGAAUUACUGGGCGUAAAGCGCACGCAGGCGGUUUGUUAAGCUAGAAGUGAAAGCCCCGGGCUCAACCUGGGAAGGCCUUUUAGAACUGGCAAGCUAGAGUCUUGGAGAGGGGAGUGGAAUUCCAGGUGUAGCGGUGAAAUGCGUAGAUAUCUGGAGGAACAUCAGUGGCGAAGGCGGCUCCCUGGCCAAAGACUGACGCUCAUGUGCGAAAGUGUGGGUAGCGAACAGGAUUAGAUACCCUGGUAGUCCACACCGUAAACGCUGUCUACUAGCUGUGUGUGAAUUUAAUUUGUGCGUAGCGAAGCAAACGCGCUA